CUUGGUUCAGGACGAACGCUGGCGGCGUGCCUAAUACAUGCAAGUCGAACGGUCUUUCUAUGGAAGCUUGCUUCCACUGAGGAGAUAGUGGCGAACGGGUGAGUAACACGUGGGUAACCUGCCCAUAAGAGGGGGAUAACAUCCGGAAACGGGUGCUAAUACCGCAUAGUUUUCUUGAUCGCAUGAUCGGGAAAGGAAAGACGGCCUUUGUGCUGUCGCUUAUGGAUGGACCCGCGGCGUAUUAGUUAGUUGGUGAGGUAACGGCUCACCAAGACGAUGAUACGUAGCCGACCUGAGAGGGUGAUCGGCCACAUUGGGACUGAGACACGGCCCAAACUCCUACGGGAGGCAGCAGUAGGGAAUCUUCCGCAAUGGACGAAAGUCUGACGGAGCAACGCCGCGUGAGUGAAGAAGGUUUUCGGAAUCGUAAAACUCUGUUGUCAGAGAAGAACAAGUUGGAGAGUAACUGCUCCAGCCUUGACGGUAUCUGACCAGAAAGCCACGGCUAACUACGUGCCAGCAGCAGC
rnacentral:rRNA from 1 species